CCGCCUGCUGCGGCGCGAUGAAGUGAAUAUGCGUGUCGAUCCCGCCCGCGGUGAGUAUCUUGCCCUCUCCCGCGAUCACAUCCGUCGCGCCGCCGACGACGAUGUUAACGCCCGGCUGGAUAUCGGGAUUACCCGACUUACCGAUCCCGGAAAUGCGUCCGUUCUUGAUGCCGACAUCGGCUUUGAUGAUGCCCCAGUGAUCGAUGAUGAUGACAUUGGUGAUGACGACGUCGGCGACUUCGGCAUAGGGGCGUUGCCCCUGCCCCAUGCCGUCGCGG
rnacentral:sRNA from 1 species